UGGCUCAGUUGGUAGAGCAUGGUGUUUGCAACACCAUGUUUGUGGGUUCGAUUCCCAC
rnacentral:tRNA from 1 species